rnacentral:lncRNA from 12 species
CGGAGCCUCCUCCCGCUCACUGGGGUGUGAGCGAGGGCGCCCAUGCGGAGGAGAGGAGGCUCCGAGUCGAUGCAUUUCGUUCCUCAAACCUCACCUCUGAGGGUUUUUUUUUAAAAUUUGUUUUUUAAAGCGUUUGGUUGUCUUUCAAAAGAAAUAACAGAUCUGGGAGAAAUUCUGCUGUGAAAGGAGACCAGCAGCAAGAGGAAUGAACUCAUGGGGUACACUCUUAGUAGGGUGGAUGCUGUGUGACCAGGUAAUGUACGACAUUCUUUUAUGGCUGACCACUGGGAAAGCAUCUCUG